rnacentral:rRNA from 1 species
UUGACCUCAGAUCAGGUAGGAAUACCCGCUGAACUUAAGCAUAUCAAUAAGCGGAGGAAAAGAAACCAACAGGGAUUGCCCUAGUAACGGCGAGUGAAGCGGCAACAGCUCAAAUUUGAAAUCUGGCGCAAGCCCGAGUUGUAAUUUGUAGAGGAUGUUUCUGGCGACGUGCCUUCCGAGUUCCCUGGAACGGGACGCCAUAGAGGGUGAGAGCCCCGUACGGUUGGAUGCCUAGCCUCUGUGAAACUCCUUCGACGAGUCGAGUAGUUUGGGAAUGCUGCUCUAAAUGGGAGGUAUACGUCUUCUAAAGCUAAAUACCGGCCAGAGACCGAUAGCGCACAAGUAGAGUGAUCGAAAGAUGAAAAGCACUUUGAAAAGAGGGUUAAAAAGUACGUGAAAUUGUUGAAAGGGAAGCGUUUAUGACCAGACUUGGGCAGGUUGAUCAUCCGUGGUUCUCCGCGGUGCACUCUGCCUGCCCAGGCCAGCAUCAGUUCGCCCCGGGGGAUAAAGGUUUCGGGAAUGUGGCUCCUCCGGGAGUGUUAUAGCCCGUUGCGUAAUACCCUGAGGUGGACUGAGGUUCGCGCACUGCAAGG